GCAUCACAUUAGCUCAGUUGGUUAGAGUGUGGUGCUGACAUCGUCAAGGUUGCAGGUUCGAUCCCUGUAUGGGGCA